CGACCUCAGAUCAGGUGGGUCCUACCCGCUGAAUUUAAGCAUAUUAUUAAGCGGUGGAAAAGAAACUAACAAGGAUUCCCUCAGUAGCUGCGAGCGAACCGGGAAGAGCCCAGCCACCGAAUCCCGCCGGCUGCGCCGGCCGGGAAAUGUGGUGUUCGGGAGGGCCCAACUAACCCGGUGUUUUCGGCGGCCAGUCCAAGUCCAUCUUGAAUGGGGCCACUGCCCGUAGAGGGUGCCAGGCCCGUAGGGACGGUCGCCGGCGUCGGGUUGGGUCUCUCCUUAGAGUCGGGUUGCUUGAGAGUGCAGCCCUAAGCAGGUGGUAAACUCCAUCUAAGGCUAAAUAUGACCACGAGACCGAUAGAAAACAAGUACCGUGAGGGAAAGUUGAAAAGAACUUUGAAGAGAGAGUUCAAGAGUACGUGAAACCGUUCAGGGGUAAAACGGAAAAAAGACUUUUAAAAAAACCGAAAGGGGAGAUUCACGCUCUCUCGCAUGAGUCGGCUCCCGCGGGUCAGAUGGCACCGUACGCCCGCACGGCGCAAGUCGUUGCGGGGUCGUUUCGGUGAUCACUCGGCGCUCGCGGGGGUUAUGCCGGCCGCGGUGGGCCGCACUUCUCCCUCAGUAGGACGAUCGCGACCCGUUGGACGGCGGUCGACGGCCCCGGCGGUAGCCCGGGACGCGGGAAAGCUUCUGCCGUACCGUGCUCCCGGACCCCGGGUCGCCCGACCGAUCGUCGGGACGGUAUGGUAACGCAAGGUGUCGGACCGCCACCGUUUAUCGGGCGUGGUGCGUCCGGGCCGGCCGCAAGCUUGCGCUCACCAGGAUGACGGUACUUGUGCCCGGCUCUUCGGUGCGCCAAACUGUUGGCGGGCCGUGUCCUCGGACGGGUCUUGUAACACCGGUCAGCGAUGUCCGUUUAAGGUACUUAUCCGACCCGUCUUGAAACCACGGACCAAGGAAGUCUAACAUGUGCGCGAGUCAUUUGGGUUGCUUGAAACACCUAAAGGCGCAAUGAAAUUGAAGGCCUGACUUGUCAGACCGAGGGAGGAUGGACGCGCGGCCCGAGUGGCGGCGUCCCCGCCACUCCCGGGGCGUCUCGUUCUCAUUGCGAGGAGAGGCGCACCCAGAGCGUACACGUUGGGUACCCGAAAGAUGGUGAACUAUGCCUGGCCAGGACGAAGUCAGGGGAAAACCCUGAUGGAGGUCCGUAGCGAUUCUGACGUGCAAAUCGAAUCGUCAGAGCUGGGUAUAGGGGCGAAAGACUAAUCGAACCAUCUAGUAAGCUGGUUCCCUCCGAAAAAUUUCCCUCAGGAUAGCUGGUGCUCGGAGGACGAAUCUCAUGCGGUAAAGCGAAUGAUUAGAGGCCUUGGGGCCGAAACGACCUCAACCUAUUCUCAAACUUUUAAAUGGGUGAGACUCCGGCUCCGGCAUGCUUUGAAUCUUCUUGAUGCCGGAGCGUUCGGAUCCAGAGUACCCCAAGUGGGCCAAUUUUGGUAAGCAGAGACCUGGCGCUGUGGGAUGAACCAAACGCAGAGAUUAAGGCGCCCGAACGACGCUCAUGGGAAACCAUGAAAGGCGUUGGUUGCUUAAGACAGCCAGGACGGUGGCCAUGGAAGUCGGAAUCCGCUAAGGAGUGUGUAACAACUCACCUGCCGAAGCAACUAGCCCUGAAAAUGGAUGGCGCUGUAGCGUCGUGCCUAUAACUCUGCCGUCAACGGCAAAGUGGGCGGUCUCCCCUCGCGGGGUCCGGGCCGUUACGCCUUGACGAGUAGGAGGGUCGCGGCGGUGUGCACUGAAGGGUCACGGCGUGAGCCGGCCUGGAGCCGCCGUCGGCGCAGAUCUUGGUGGUAGUAGCAAAUACUCAAGCGAGGACCUUGAGGACUGACGUGGAGAAGGUUUCUUGUGAACAGCUGUUGCAACAAGAGUCAGUCGACCCUAAGCCCUAGGAGAGAAAUCCCAUGUCGAUGGGUAGCCGAGACACACGUGUUUAUUGAGACGUUGCUCACAGAAAAAGGCACCCACUGGGCGAAAGGGAAUCCGGUUCCUAUUCCGGAACCCGGUAGCGGAACCGUUCCAAUGCGGGCCCUCAUCGAGUGCUCGUCGGGGUAAACCCAAAGAGACCCCGGAGACGCCGUCGGGAGAUCCGGAGAGAGUUUUCUUUUCUCUAUAAAGCGUUCGAUGUUCCCUUGGAAUCCUUUAGCAGGGGAGAUAGGGUUUGGAACGCGAAGAGCACCGCAGUUGCGGCGGUGUCCGGAUAUCCUUCCCUCGGACCUUGAAAAUCCGGGAGAGGGCUACGUGGAAAGUUCGCACCGGAUCGUACCCAUAUCCGCAGCAGGUCUCCAAGGUUAAGAGCCUCUAGUCGAUAGAAUAAUGUAGGUAAGGGAAAGUCGGCAAACUUGAUCCGUAACUUCGGAACAAGGAUUGGCUCUGAGGAUCGGGGGUGUAUCGGGCUUGGUCGGGAAGCGUAGACGUGCCGGGAGCCGGGCCUGGGCGAGUCGAU
rnacentral:rRNA from 1 species